UACAGAGGUCUCAAGCGUUUGUUCGGAUUCAUUGGGCGUAAAGGGUGCGUAGGCGGCGCGGUAAGUCGGGUGUGAAAUCUCGGGGCUUAACUCCGAAACUGCAUUCGAUACUGCCGUGCUUGAGGACUGGAGAGGAGACUGGAAAUUUACGGUGUAGCGGUGAAAUGCGUAGAUAUCGUAAGGAAGACCAGUGGCGAAGGCGGGUCUCUGGACAGUUCCUGGACGCUGGAGGCACGAAGGUCAGGGGAGCAAACGGG
rnacentral:rRNA from 1 species